rnacentral:rRNA from 1 species
GAUGAUCGCUGGCGGCGUGCCUAAUACAUGCAAGUCGAGCGAACGGACGAGAAGCUUGCUUUUCUGAUGUUAGCGGCGGACGGGUGAGUAACACGUGGAUAACCUACCUAUAAGACUGGGAUAACUUCGGGAAACCGGAGCUAAUACCGGAUAAUAUUUUGAACCGCAUGGUUCAAAAGUGAAAGACGGUCUUGCUGUCACUUAUAGAUGGAUCCGCGCUGCAUUAGCUAGUUGGUAAGGUAACGGCUUACCAAGGCAACGAUGCAUAGCCGACCUGAGAGGGUGAUCGGCCACACUGGAACUGAGACACGGUCCAGACUCCUACGGGAGGCAGCAGUAGGGAAUCUUCCGCAAUGGGCGAAAGCCUGACGGAGCAACGCCGCGUGAGUGAUGAAGGUCUUCGGAUCGUAAAACUCUGUUAUUAGGGAAGAACAUAUGUGUAAGUAACUGUGCACAUCUUGACGGUACCUAAUCAGAAAGCCACGGCUAACUACGUG